rnacentral:rRNA from 1 species
CGGCCUCAGAUUGGUAGGACUACCCGCUGAACUUAAGCAUAUCAAUAAGCGGAGGAAAAGAAACUAACAAGGAUUCCCCUAGUAACGGCGAGUGAAGAGGGAAGAGCCCAAGAUUGAAAGCUGGCGUCUUCGGCGUCCGCAUUGUAAUCUCAAGAAGUGUUUUCCGCUUCGGACCAUGCCUAAGUCCCUUGGAAAAGGGCAUCAUAGAGGGUGAUAAUCCCGUACAUGGCAUGGAGCGCCCGAAGCUUUGUGAUACACUUUCUAAGAGUCGAGUUGUUUGGGAAUGCAGCUCAAAAUGGGUGGUAAAUGCCAUCUAAGGCUAAAUAUUGGGGAGAGACCGAUAGCGAACAAGUACAGUGAUGGAAAGAUGAAAAGAACUUUGAAAAGAGAGUUAAACAGUACGUGAAAUUGCCAAAAGGGAAGGGUAGGAGGUCAGAGAUGCGGCCUGGGAUUCAGCCUUGCUUUUGCUUGGUGUUUUUCCCAGUUUGCAGGCCAACGUCGGUUUUGGGCACUGGAGAAUGGUGGGAGGAACGUGGCACUCUUCGGGGUGUGUUAUAGCCUCCUACUGGAUACAGCGACCGGGACCGAGGACAGCAGCGUACUCGCAAGAGCGGGCCUUCGGGCACCUUUACGCUUAGGGCGUUGGCAUAAUGGCCCUCUACCA